GGUGCAAAAUGGAUGGCGCCUGUUUUCAGGUCUUCUUAUACCAGAAACGCAGAAUGAAUAUAACUAUCGCUAAUUUAAUAUAGAGAGUGGUGGCAGCUUGACUACCGCUGGACCGUUGCACUGACCCUCUAACCUCAAUAUCAGUUAACUUACAAGAGUUACCGUUCGUGUGUUCUAACAAUCUAGAUUACUGAUAUUUUUGGUAACAAAUAAGUUAAACAAAUCUUCACGUCACCUAAAGGCAUCUUUCGGAACUUAAGUGGGCCGCCACCAUUGGGUUUCAUAAGACGCUAAAAGGAGCCUGACUCAUUCACUCGCUCAUCUUUAAACUUGCAACAACUACGGAAAUGCUGGACGUCCAUCACCGUGUUCAAUUUCUUGGUAUCGUGACGUUGUUGUUCCUGAUGGUGAUUUGCGUGAUUGUAACGCCCGCAUAUAGUCAGCAAGGAGUACGUUGACAAGUGGGAGCCUUUUGACAU